rnacentral:rRNA from 1 species
CCCUUAGAUGUCCUGGGCCGCACGCGCGUUACACUGAUGCAUUCAACGAGCUUAUAACCUUGGCCGAGAGGCCUGGGCAAUCUUGUUAACGUGCAUCGUGAUAGGGAUAGAUUAUUGAAAUUAUUAAUCUUGAACGAGGAAUUCCUAGUAAACGCAGAUCAUCAAUCUGCAUUGAUUACGUCCCUGCCCUUUGUACACACCGCCCGUCGCACCUACCGAUUGGAUGGUCCGGUGAAGCCUCGAGAUUGUGGUUCUUGCCGCUUUAUUGUGGCGUGACCGCGAGAACUUGUCUAAACCUUAUCAUCUAGAGGAAGGUGAAGUCGUAACA